rnacentral:rRNA from 1 species
AGAGUUUGAUCAUGGCUCAGAUUGAACGCUGGCGGCAGGCCUAACACAUGCAAGUCGAGCGGUAGCACAGAGAGCUUGCUCUCGGGUGACGAGCGGCGGACGGGUGAGUAAUGUCUGGGAAACUGCCUGAUGGAGGGGGAUAACUACUGGAAACGGUAGCUAAUACCGCAUAAUGUCGCAAGACCAAAGUGGGGGACCUUCGGGCCUCAUGCCAUCAGAUGUGCCCAGAUGGGAUUAGCUAGUAGGUGGGGUAACGGCUCACCUAGGCGACGAUCCCUAGCUGGUCUGAGAGGAUGACCAGCCACACUGGAACUGAGACACGGUCCAGACUCCUACGGGAGGCAGCAGUGGGGAAUAUUGCACAAUGGGCGCAAGCCUGAUGCAGCCAUGCCGCGUGUAUGAAGAAGGCCUUCGGGUUGUAAAGUACUUUCAGCGGGGAGGAAGGGAGUAAAGUUAAUACCUUUGCUCAUUGACGUUACCCGCAGAAGAAGCACCGGCUAACUCCGUGCCAGCAGCCGCGGUAAUACGGAGGGUGCAAGCGUUAAUCGGAAUUACUGGGCGUAAAGCGCACGCAGGCGGUUUGUUAAGUCAGAUGUGAAAUCCCCGGGCUCAACCUGGGAACUGCAUCUGAUACUGGCAAGCUUGAGUCUCGUAGAGGGGGGUAGAAUUCCAGGUGUAGCGGUGAAAUGCGUAGAGAUCUGGAGGAAUACCGGUGGCGAAGGCGGCCCCCUGGACGAAGACUGACGCUCAGGUGCGAAAGCGUGGGGAGCAAACAGGAUUAGAUACCCUGGUAGUCCACGCCGUAAACGAUGUCGACUUGGAGGUUGUGCCCUUGAGGCGUGGCUUCCGGAGCUAACGCGUUAAGUCGACCGCCUGGGGAGUACGGCCGCAAGGUUAAAACUCAAAUGAAUUGACGGGGGCCCGCACAAGCGGUGGAGCAUGUGGUUUAAUUCGAUGCAACGCGAAGAACCUUACCUACUCUUGACAUCCAGAGAACUUUCCAGAGAUGGAUUGGUGCCUUCGGGAACUCUGAGACAGGUGCUGCAUGGCUGUCGUCAGCUCGUGUUGUGAAAUGUUGGGUUAAGUCCCGCAACGAGCGCAACCCUUAUCCUUUGUUGCCAGCGGUCCGGCCGGGAACUCAAAGGAGACUGCCAGUGAUAAACUGGAGGAAGGUGGGGAUGACGUCAAGUCAUCAUGGCCCUUACGACCAGGGCUACACACGUGCUACAAUGGCGCAUACAAAGAGAAGCGACCUCGCGAGAGCAAGCGGACCUCAUAAAGUGCGUCGUAGUCCGGAUUGGAGUCUGCAACUCGACUCCAUGAAGUCGGAAUCGCUAGUAAUCGUGGAUCAGAAUGCCACGGUGAAUACGUUCCCGGGCCUUGUACACACCGCCCGUCACACCAUGGGAGUGGGUUGCAAAAGAAGUAGGUAGCUUAACCUUCGGGAGGGCGCUUACCACUUUGUGAUUCAUGACUGGGGUGAAGUCGUAACAAGGUAACCGUAGGGGAACCUGCGGUUG